CGGAUCUUAGGGCCAGCUCCCGGAGUGCGGCGGCCCCUGGGCACUGGGAACCGGGUCCCUGCGGUCCCACGCUAGGAAUACCCGCUGCGAGGCGGUUAAAAUGGCAAGCUUUAAGAGAGGGACGCUUGUAACCGGCAAGUCUUUUUAGGUUCACAUCCAGAAAUUAUCCUAAAAUACUGGUUAACUGGAUUUCCAGUCCACCGACUAACAGAAGCAGCAAGUAAGAAAUUUUAAGGGCAACAGGAGCUUCCGGCACAGACUCUUCAGCCUUCCAGUGCAGAAGCUUCAGCCUUCCAUCGCAGACCUUUCCACCUCCUGUUACAGACUCACACAGGACAUUACAGUGUCCUGUAAUUACAGGCCUUUGAACUUGACUGGAUCCAUCUCUAUUGUGCAGACAGCUUUUUGUAGUCUUCCACACCUGACUCUGUGGAUGGCCUACCUUAUGAGCACUGACUGAUACAACCUCCGACUGUGGGUCCCCUUCCUAUUGGGUACAAGGUCUACCUCUCCCUAUUUCCUAUCAUUUUUUUUUAAUUAAAAUCUUUUUUUUGUUUUUGAGACA